GAUGAACGCUGGCGGCGUGCCUAAUACAUGCAAGUCGAGCGAAUGGAUUAAGAGCUUGCUCUUAUGAAGUUAGCGGCGGACGGGUGAGUAACACGUGGGUAACCUGCCCAUAAGACUGGGAUAACUCCGGGAAACCGGGGCUAAUACCGGAUAACAUUUUGAACCGCAUGGUUCGGAAUUGAAUGGCGGCUUCGGCUGUCACUUAUGGAUGGACCCGGGUCGCAUUAGCUAGUUGGUGAGGUAACGGCUCACCAAGGCAACGAUGCGUAGCCGACCUGAGAGGGUGAUCGGCCACACUGGGACUGAGACACGGCCCAGACUCCUACGGGAGGCAGCAGUAGGGAAUCUUCCGCAAUGGACGAAAGUCUGACGGAGCAACGCCGCGUGAGUGAUGAAGGCUUUCGGGUCGUAAAACUCUGUUGUUAGGGAAGAACAAGUGCUAGUUGAAUAAGCUGGCACCUUGACGGUACCUAACCAGAAAGCCACGGCUAACUACGUGCCAGCAGCCGCGGUAA
rnacentral:rRNA from 1 species